rnacentral:lncRNA from 1 species
GGUUAGAGGAUGAGAUAAUAAAGCAUGCUCUCCUGCGCUGCUUGUGGAUGAGGUUGAUUUGGAGGAGGAUGGAUGAUCAACCAUGGGAGGAGAGCACUAGCCCUUAGCUAAACCCUUUUCUGGAUGCGAUUCAUCAGAGCACUACUGAGGGGUCGACCAUACCUAGGGGGUCGAAUAGCAUAUAUUGCCUAUCAGAUCUAACUUGCCAAGAACAACUUGACCUUCGAAGCUAAGGUGGUCCUUGCUUAUCAAGUGCUGGAGAGAGUAUUUUGCUGGACUACUGAGUA